UACAGAGGUCUCGAGCGUUGUUCGGAUUCAUUGGGCGUAAAGGGGGCGUAGGUGGCUAGGUAAGUCGGAUGUGAAAUCCCGGGGCUCAACCCCGGAACUGCAUUCGAUACUGCCUGGCUAGAGUACUGGAGAGGAGAUUGGAAUUUACGGUGUAGCAGUGAAAUGCGUAGAUAUCGUAAGGAAGACCAGUGGCGAAGGCGGAUCUCUGGACAGUUACUGACACUGAGGCACGAAGGCCAGGGGAGCAAACGGG
rnacentral:rRNA from 1 species